rnacentral:rRNA from 1 species
GACGAACGCUGGCGGCGUGCUUAACACAUGCAAGUCGAACGGAAAGGCCCUGCUUUUGUGGGGUGCUCGAGUGGCGAACGGGUGAGUAACACGUGAGUAACCUGCCCUUGACUUUGGGAUAACUUCAGGAAACUGGGGGUAAUACCGGAUAGGAGCUCCUGCUGCAUGGUGGGGGUUGGAAAGUUUCGGCGGUUGGGGAUGGACUCGCGGCUUAUCAGCUUGUUGGUGGGGUAGUGGCUUACCAAGGCUUUGACGGGUAGGCGGCCUGCGAGGGUGACCGGCCACAUUGGGACUGAGAUACGGCCCAGACUCCUACGGGAGGCAGCAGUGGGGAAUAUUGCACAAUGGGGGGAAGCCUGAUGCAGCAACGCCGCGUGCGGGAUGACGGCCUUCGGGUUGUAAACCGCUUUCGCCUGUGACGAAGCGUGAGUGACGGUAAUGGGUAAAGAAGCACCGGCUAACUACGUG